CGAUUAUCUUAAAACGCAAUCCGGUAAAUUCAAGGAGUAUCGCCAUUUUUGGACAUCCCGUGCAGCAUGAGAAAACAGUAUAUAUAUUACAUAAUACGACACAAUAGACAAUUACAAUUGCCGCUUGACUGCAAAUGGAUGACAAUGAGCGAGGAUAAUAUAAUAACGAGAUUUCUCUCGACGAGUAUGUUAAAACGUGACUCAAUUAAAGAAAGUUAUUAUUA
rnacentral:lncRNA from 1 species